GGCCUCCAUUGGGAAUGCCAUCUGUGAAAGUUGGAACGAUACAAAGAGGAAUAGAAUGGCCCUUGCUCAAGGAUGACACAACAAAAGCAUACUUCUUAAU
rnacentral:snRNA from 1 species